AGACUUUGUAUCUGGCAAGUUUUUCCAGAACAGUUUUGGUUUCUUUCAAAGGAAGCAACUAAUUGGAUAUUUAGCAAUCCUGAUGCUGCUAAUUCAUCAGAUAUGGAUGCUACAACAAGCAGUACUCCUACUGCUGAUGUUGGAUUGCCUGAUGGAGGAGGAAGAUACCGACUUAUUGGGCUAGUGAGCCACAUUGGAACCUCAACCCAGUGUGGUCACUAUGUUGCUCAUAUAUACAAGGAUGGAAGGUGGGUUAUUUUCAACGAUGACAAGGUUGGGGCUUCUAUUAAUCCCCCCAAGGAUAUGGGAUAUUUAUAUUUCUUUGAGAGACUGAGCAGUUGAGUGACAUGAAAGAUUGUCGACAUUUGCAAGAUGCUGUGAGUUUCUGGAAUCUCAGUGGUACUUGCUUAUGGUUGUUGCCUGUAGAAUGACUGAAGACAGCACUGGCCGGGUGGUGUGAUAAAACUCUUUACCCUUUGCUUUGCAGUACUUAUGAGUUUCUUCAUAUGCAGUUCUCUGGAAAUAGGGUCAUGGUUUUUUGGGCUUAUGACUAUUUCUGAAUUCUUUUUUAAUUAAAUUGUGGGAAUAACAACUUAAAAAAGGCCGGAAUGUCAUUCAUGAAAAAUUUUGUACCCAUUACUUGUUUCUGUCUGACCAGAUUUGAUCAACAUUUUGCCGGAUCAUCAAUUGAAAUGGUAUAUUGUAAA